CUGGAUACGACCCUUACAGGCAUCUGUUGGGGGUGGAAAGAUUUAUCGGUGAAGGAUGGGCUCGCGGCCUAUCAGGUAGUUGGUGAGGUAACGGCUCACCAAGCCGACGACGGGUAGCCGGCCUGAGAGGGUGACCGGCCACACUGGGACUGAGACACGGCCCAGACUCCUACGGGAGGCAGCAGUGGGGAAUAUUGCACAAUGGGCGAAAGCCUGAUGCAGCAACGCCGCGUGAGGGAUGACGGCCUUCGGGUUGUAAACCUCUUUUAGUAGGGAAGAAGCGUAAGUGACGGUACCUGCAGAAAAAGCACCGGCUAACUACGUGCCAGCAGCCGCGGUAAUACGUAGGGUGCAAGCGUUGUCCGGAAUUAUUGGGCGUAAAGAGCUCGUAGGCGGCUUGUCGCGUCUGCUGUGAAAACCCGGAGCUCAACUUCGGGCCUGCAGUGGGUACCGGCAGGCUAGAGUGCGGUAGGGGAGAUUGGAAUUCCUGGUGUAGCG
rnacentral:rRNA from 1 species